UGGAGCAUGUGGUUUAAUUCGAUGAUACGCGAGGAACCGUUACCUGGGCUCGAACGUAAGAUGACUGUAGGUGAAAGCUUACAUCUCUUCGGAGCAUUUUACGAGGUGCUGCAUGGUUGUCGUCAGCUCGUGCCGUGAGGUGUCGGGUUAAGUCCCAUAACGAGCGCAACCCUACCUUUAGUUGCCAUCAGGUAAUGCUGGGGACUCUAAAGGAACUGCCUACGCAAGUAGUGAGGAAGGCGGGGAUGACGUCAAAUCAGCACGGCCCUUACGUCCAGGGCUACACACGUGCUACAAUGGCCGAUACAGAGGGCAGCUACCUGGUGACAGGAUGCAAAUCUCCAAAGUCGGUCUCAGUUCGGAUCGGAGUCUGCAACCCGACUCCGUGAAGUUGGAUUCGCUAGUAAUCGCGCAUCAGCCAUGGCGCGGUGAAUACGUUCCCGGGCCUU
rnacentral:rRNA from 1 species